rnacentral:rRNA from 1 species
CCCUUAGAUGUCCUGGGCCGCACGCGCGUUACACUGAUGCAUUCAACGAGCUUAUAACCUUGGCCGAGAGGCCUGGGCAAUCUUGUUAACGUGCAUCGUGAUAGGGAUAGAUUAUUGAAAUUAUUAAUCUUGAACGAGGAAUUCCUAGUAAACGCAGAUCAUCAAUCUGCAUUGAUUACGUCCCUGCCCUUUGUACACACCGCCCGUCGCACCUACCGAUUGGAUGGUCCGGUGAAGCCUCGGGAUUGUGGUUCUUGCCGCUUUAUUGUGGCGUGACCGCGAGAACUUGUCUAAACCUUAUCAUCUAGAGGAAGGUGAANUCGUAGCA